UACGUAGGGUGCGAGCGUUAAUCGGAAUUACUGGGCGUAAAGCGUGCGCAGGCGGUUUUGUAAGCCAGAUGUGAAAUCCCCGGGCUUAACCUGGGAAUGGCAUUUGGGACUGCAAGGCUUGAGUGCGGCAGAGGAGACUGGAAUUCCUGGUGUAGCAGUGAAAAUGCGUAGAUAUCAGGAGGAACACCGAUGCGAAGGCAGGUCUCUGGGC
rnacentral:rRNA from 1 species